rnacentral:rRNA from 1 species
UACGGGGGGGGCAAGCGUUGUUCGGAAUUACUGGGCGUAAAGGGUUUGUAGGUGGCCGGCUAAGUCAGACGUGAAAUCCCUCAGCUUAACUGGGGAACUGCGUCUGGGACUGGUCGGCUUGAGGGCCGGAGAGGAACGCGGAAUUCCCGGUGUAGCAGUGAAAUGCGUAGAGAUCGGGAGGAACACCAGUGGCGAAGGCGGCUACCUGGACCAGCAUUGACACUCAAGCACGAAAGCGUGGGGAGCAAACAGG